rnacentral:misc_RNA from 1 species
UCCAGUUUAUCACCAGCGGUUCCAUUAGAGUGCUCAGCCGAACUGUAGCAACUAACGGUAAGGGUUGCGCUCGUUGCGGGACUUAACCCAACAUCUCACGACACGAGCUGACGACAGCCAUGCAGCACCUUGCUUCAGGUCUGAGUUUUACCCCAGAAAAGCAUGUUUUGCACGCUUGUCCUUCGCAUUCUAGCCCAGGUAAGGUUCUUCGCGUUGCGUCGAAUUAAACCACAUGCUCCACCGCUUGUGCGGGUCCCCGUCAAUUCCUUUGAGUUUUAAUCUUGCGACCGUACUCCCCAGGCGGUCAACUUCACGCGUUAGCUUCGUUACCAAGAAAUUGCUUCCCCGACAACUAGUUGACAUAGUUUAGGGCGUGGACUAC